UACGAAGGGGGCUAGCGUUGCUCGGAAUCACUGGGCGUAAAGGGUGCGUAGGCGGGUUUCUAAGUCAGAGGUGAAAGCCUGGAGCUCAACUCCAGAACUGCCUUUGAUACUGGAAGUCUUGAGUAUGGGAGAGGUGAGUGGAACUGCGAGUGUAGAGGUGAAAUUCGUAGAUAUUCGCAAGAACACCAGUGGCGAAGGCGGCUCACUGGCCCAUUACUGACGCUGAGGCACGAAAGCGUGGGGAGCAAAC
rnacentral:rRNA from 1 species